rnacentral:rRNA from 1 species
AUGAUAACUAGNCGAAUNGACAGGCCUUGNGCCGGCGAUGGCUCAUUCAAAUUUCUUCCCUAUCAACUUUCGAUGUUUGGGUCUUGUCCAAACAUGGUGGCAACGGGUAACGGAGGGUUAGGGCUCGACCCCGGAGAAGGAGCCUGAGAAACGGCUACUACAUCCAAGGAAGGCAGCAGGCGCGCAAAUUACCCAAUCCCGACACGGGGAGGUAGUGACAAUAAAUACUGAUACAGGGCUCUUUUGGGUCUUGUAAUCGGAAUGAGUACAAUUUAAAUCCCUUAACGAGGAACAAUUGGAGGGCAAGUCUGGUGCCAGCAGCCGCGGUAAUUCCAGCUCCAAUAGCGUAUAUUAAAGUUGUUGUGGUUAAAAAGCUCGUAGUUGAACCUUGGGCCUGGCUGGCCGGUCCGCCUCACCGCGUGCACUGGUCCGGCCGGGCCUUUCCCUCUGCGGAACCCCAUGCCCUUCACUGGGUGUGGCGGGGAAACAGGACUUUUACUUUGAAAAAAUUAGAGUGCUCAAGGCAGGCCUAUGCUCGAAUACAUUAGCAUGGAAUAAUAGAAUAGGACGUGUGGUUCUAUUUUGUUGGUUUCUAGGACCGCCGUAAUGAUUAAUAGGGACAGUCGGGGGCAUCAGUAUUCAAUUGUCAGAGGUGAAAUUCUUGGAUUUAUUGAAGACUAACUACUGCGAAAGCAUUUGCCAAGGAUGUUUUCAUUAAUCANGA